rnacentral:tRNA from 4 species
GCGGAUGUGGCGGAAUUGGUAGACGCGCACGGUUCAGGUCCGUGUGCCCGAAAGGGCGUGGAGGUUCAAGUCCUCUCAUCCGCA